rnacentral:rRNA from 1 species
AUGAACGCUGGCGGCGUGCUUAACACAUGCAAGUCGAACGGAAAGGCCCAAGCUUGCUUGGGUACUCGAGUGGCGAACAGGUGAGUAACACGUGGGUGAUCUGCCCUGCACUUCGGGAUAAGCCUGGGAAACUGGGUCUAAUACCGGAUAGGACCACUUCUUGGAUGUUGUGGUGGAAAGUUUUCUCGGUGUGGGAUGAGCUCGCGGCCUAUCAGCUUGUUGGUGGGGUAAUGGCCUACCAAGGCGUCGACGGGUAGCCGGCCUGAGAGGGUGUACGGCCACAUUGGGACUGAGAUACGGCCCAGACUCCUACGGGAGGCAGCAAUGGGGAAUAUUGCACAAUGGGCGCAAGCCUGAUGCAGCGACGCCGCGUGGGGGAUGACGGCCUUCGGGUUGUAAACUCCUUUCGCUAGGGACGAAGCGUUUUUGUGACGGUACCUGGAGAAGAAGCACCGGCUAACUACGUG